GGUUUCUGGAGAUUAAAGCUUUAAGCUUUUUACUCCGUUUGAACUUAACUAGUGAUUCGAAGAAAUAAAAUCUUCAUUACAAGUUAAACAUCACUUGGUUGAAGAUUGAAAGUCAUAAAAACUUCAUUGUUAGACUAGAAACAAGGGGUAUUUAAAGUUGCUGCAACUUUAUUAAUAGUAUUUUGAUAUUCUAAAUUUACUGUCUUGUUGUGACAGGAAAAUGACUACUGACAGUCAAGUGAAUAAUGCUGCAACGACUGUGGCAACAACUAAUAUUAUCACAAUGAAUCGUACGAAUACUCCGCCGAAAAUGGCACAAACGGAGAAACCCAAAAAAUUCACGGGUGUAGAUUUCAAAAGGUGGCAACAGAAUUUGUUCUUCUACCUUACAACUUUAUGUCUUCAACGUUUACAUCUGAAGAAGCUCCUGAGGUUCCCAAAAGGAACUUUUGACCAAGAGAAAUUUAUCAUUAUGGAGGCGUGGAAACACUCAGAUUUCCUAUGCAGGAAUUACAUUCUAAAUGGCCUCCAAGAUGAGCUAUACAAUAUGUAUAAUGCGAUGAAGACAACAAAGGAGUUGUGGUGGCUCUAGAAAGAAAGUACAAGACUGAGGAUGUCGGAAUCGAAAAGUUCUUCGUUGCAAGAUUCCUAGAGUUUAAAAUGAUUGACAGCAAGUCUGUUGUAUCUUAAAUGCAGGAACUGCAAGUAAUCAUCCACGAUCUCCUCACAUAAGGUUUGAUAGUGAACGAGGCAUUUUAUGUCGCGGCAAUAAUAGAGAAGGUACCACCGUUGUGGAAGGACUUCAAGAACUACUUGAAACAUAAGCGAAAAGAGAUGGCAGUCGAAGAUCUUAUAGUGAGACUGCGCAUUAAAAAAGACAACAAAGCCGCGAAAAGGAGGUCGAAAGGAAAUUCUACAAUAAGUGGAGAAAAUAUUAUAGAAAACGACCACAACAACUCCAAAAAGCGGAGGAUAGCUGAACAGGAAAGCAAUCAACCCAAGAAGAAAUUCAAGAGAAAAUUCUUUAAUUAUGGAAAGAUUGGCGACAAAUCAACAUAUUGUCUUGCCCCAAAGAAAGGGAAGAAGAAGAACCAAGAAAAUAUGGACGAAUCCAAGAAAGAAGUGGAUGAUCUGUGUGCCAUGCUGUCUUAAUGCAACUUGGAGGGAAAUCCUCAAGAAUGGUGGAUGGAUUUUGAUGCCACCCGUCAUUUUUUUUGUUAAUAACGAGUUGGUUACAAUGUUCGAUCUGGCUCAAGGAGAAGAAAAUAUUUACGUGACAAACUCCACUACUGCAAAAGUAGAAGGAAUAGGAAAAGUAUUCUUUAAAAUGACUUCAAGCAAGGUGUUGACUCUCAACAAUGUCCUGUAUGUACCGUAGUUAAGAAAGAACUUGAUUUUUGUAUCCCUUCUAGACAAAACUAGAUUUAAAUGUGUAACUGUUUCCGAAAAAGUUGUAAGAUGAAUGUAAUGACUAGAUUUUAAUUUAC